rnacentral:rRNA from 1 species
GAGUGAACGCUGGCGGUAGGCCUAACACAUGCAAGUCGAACGGCAGCACAGUAAGAGCUUGCUCUUACGGGUGGCGAGUGGCGGACGGGUGAGGAAUACAUCGGAAUCUACUUUUUCGUGGGGGAUAACGUAGGGAAACUUACGCUAAUACCGCAUACGACCUACGGGUGAAAGCAGGGGAUCUUCGGACCUUGCGCGAUUGAAUGAGCCGAUGUCGGAUUAGCUAGUUGGCGGGGUAAAGGCCCACCAAGGCGACGAUCCGUAGCUGGUCUGAGAGGAUGAUCAGCCACACUGGAACUGAGACACGGUCCAGACUCCUACGGGAGGCAGCAGUGGGGAAUAUUGGACAAUGGGCGCAAGCCUGAUCCAGCCAUACCGCGUGGGUGAAGAAGGCCUUCGGGUUGUAAAGCCCUUUUGUUGGGAAAGAAAAGCAGCAGGUUAAUACCCCGCUGUUCUGACGGUACCCAAAGAAUAAGCACCGGCUAACUUCG